GUAGUCCUGGCUGUAAACGAUGUCGACUUGGAGGUUGUGCCCUUGAGGCGUGGCUUCCGGAGCUAACGCGUUAAGUCGACCGCCUGGGGAGUACGGCCGCAAGGUUAAAACUCAAAUGAAUUGACGGGGGCCCGCACAAGCGGUGGAGCAUGUGGUUUAAUUCGAUGCAACGCGAAGAACCUUACCUGGUCUUGACAUCCACGGAAGUUUUCAGAGAUGAGAAUGUGCCUUCGGGAACCGUGAGACAGGUGCUGCAUGGCUGUCGUCAGCUCGUGUUGUGAAAUGUUGGGUUAAGUCCCGCAACGAGCGCAACCCUUAUCCUUUGUUGCCAGCGGUCCGGCCGGGAACUCAAAGGAGACUGCCAGUGAUAAACUGGAGGAAGGUGGGGAUGACGUCAAGUCAUCAUGGCCCUUACGACCAGGGCUACACACGUGCUACAAUGGCGCAUACAAAGAGAAGCGACCUCGCGAGAGCAAGCGGACCUCAUAAAGUGCGUCGUAGUCCGGAUUGGAGUCUGCAACCCGACUCCAUGAAGUCGGAAUCGCUAGUAAUCGUGGAUCAGAAUGCCACGGUGAAUACGUUCCCGGGCCUUGUACACACCGCCCGUCACACCAUGGGAGUGGGUUGCAAAAGAAGUAGGUAGCUUAACCUUCGGGAGGGCGCUUACCACUUUGUGAUUCAUGACUGGGGUGAAGUCGUAACAAGGUAACCGUAGGGGAACCUGCGGCUGGAUCACCUCC
rnacentral:rRNA from 1 species